GAGAGGUAGCCGUCCUCCUCCGGCCUCUCCUCCGGGCACAUAAGCUUCUCAACUAUCUGGCUCAUCGUGGGUCUUGAGUCCCUGUCUUCCUCCACACAUUCCAAGGCAACUCCAAUCAGAAUUUCCAUCCGGCGCAGGUCGCAUUCGCCUUGCAUCACAGGGUCCAGGAUGUCUUCAAUCCACGACCCCCUGGCACCAAUCCCAUUCAUUCGAUCCCUCACCCAUUUAAUCAACCCACGCUGCUCUGUCUCUCCUUGGGCAUCAGUAUCGGGGAUAGCAGUUGGGCUCUUCCCUGUCACCAUCUCCAAAACCACGAUUCCAUAGCUAUAAACGUCUACCUUGGAGGUUAUGGGAAGGUUGAAUACCCAUUCAGGAGCCAUGUAUCCUCUGGUUCCUCUGAUCCUCGAGAAACUUGAAUUGUCAAGCCCUCCUCUGUUUCGCAGUUUCGACAUCCCAAAAUCGGCCACUUUUGGCUGGUAAUUAGAGUCCAAGAGUAUGUUCUGAGGCUUGACAUCACAGUGCAGAACCCACUCCAAGCAUUCUUCGUGUAAAUAAGCUAGGCCUCUGGCCGUGCCAAGCGCUAUUUGGAACCUCUUCUCCCAAUCAAGAGUAUUGGAAGAUAGCUUUUGUGCCAAGGAUCCAUGUUCCAUGUACUCAUACACCAACAGCCGGUGCUUCCCCUCUAUGCAAUAUCCCCACGUCUCUAUUAAGUUCAUGUGAUUAAGCCUUCCAAUGGUGCUCACUUCUGCUAGAAAUUCUGCUUCUCCUUGAUUGGCUUCUUUGAGGCGCUUGAUUGCUGCCACUCGACGAUCAAGCAAUACACCUUUAUAUACCACUCCUCCACCUCCUCUUCCAAUCUCUUGGGUGAAACCUCGCGUGGCCUUCUUCAACUCUGCAUAGCUGAAUCUUUUAAACCCGUUUGCAACGAGGAUGUAGCCUUGCAUGGUCGAGACUGGAUCAUGGUGUACCCAAAAUAAGAAAAGCCAUACCAGCAAGACAAUUGCCCCCUCUAGAACUCCCAGUACGUAGGCAAACCACAGCAAAAACUUCAAUGACCCAUUUUCGUGGCCCUUGCGAUAUGUUGUAUCUAGCUGUAUAUAACGAGUGUUGCCUGAACAAUUUAUGGUGAAUUCUUCAAGAGGAUCAUAUCUGGGAAAGAGACUAGCUUUAGGCAGUUUUAGAUACAUGGUUCCAGGAUAAUUUGGCGAACUGAAUCCAUUAAGCAAGAGGGUCUUUGGGUAACAACCGUAAAGGCCGUCGCUAAAAUUUAGCAGGAAGGCCUUGCAUUUGCACAACUGUAAGCAUAGAUUUUCACAGCUUUCAUAGGUGUAAUUGGGGUAGUGACCAUAGUCAUAGCCGUAGAGUUGAACAUGAGGGAGUGGGAAGAAGCCCACCUCAGUUUGGUUACAAGCGAUAUCAGUUUCUGGUGCGCACCCAUAAGACCAGUCAGUUGAAUUUACAAUCUUGAAUCCAGGCAUGCAAGAGCAUCCUCUGCCAUAAGCAGGGGUGUAACUGCAGAGACUGUUGGGUCCGCAGAUGCCAUGAAUCUGGCAUGGUUGGGAGAUAGCCUGCCAUGAAACCGACCAGGUUCCUCUCGUUUCUUCUAGACUAUACAUUCUAAGAUUGCCAUCGAAAUCGAGGGCCAAUCUUCUCUGAGGCCCCGCACCAAAAUCCGCUGACCGAAAUUCCAAAUCAUCUGAUGCUCUAUAAUAACCCAAAGAAUCGAAUACUGCGAUUCGACUGUUGUUGUAUGUGCUUCUUCCAGCAUCCCAGGUCACCAGGCUUGGGUCUGGCCAGUAGAUGCUGGAAACCUCAGUACCAUUGAAGAGAAGGCGGAUGACGUUAUCACUGUCAAAAAAUAGCUUAUAAAAACCAGAAGAAUAGUUGCUUUGGCUUCUUGAGGAGAUAAGGCUGGUAUCUUUGGUCAGUAUCUGGUGAGGAAGAAGAGUAUCUGUGGGUGAGUCAAAGCUCUGCCAAAUCACCGUCUUCUCCCAAGCAUAUAGAACAAGAUUGCCGGUGUUAAGGAGCUGUAAUCUCGCAGAUGAGGUUGAAACGGUGUUGAUCAUCCAAACCAUGAUUUUACCAGCAUCAGUUAAGAGGAGAUUGCCAUUCCUCAACAAAGAAAGCUUGGAGCCUCUACCGUUGACCGGUUGGUCACGGUUCGCCAUCCAAACUGUGGUUGCACCCCAUGAUUUUGUAAACCAUAUGGCGAAGCAGAAAGUGUUGUUGCCGACCUGAUAAAACCCAGCAGAGAAUAUACCAUUUGCUGAAAUGAGAAGAUCAUUUGAUUUCUCCACGGAAAGAGACGAGCCUUCGCUCAGAGUAUCAUACGUUUCAGAUGAAGAUGGAUAGCAAGUUAAUAGCAAAGCCAAAACAAAGAAACCAACUGUCCUAUCCAUGAGUUUUGGGAUAUGGUUUAUGUGCUCUGUUUCCUGAUCAGAUAUUUGCAAUGGAGAAUGCAAGUGUACGGUGCUACCAGAGUUUAGAAAAUAAAUUGACUCCUUGACUGGGGUGAAGGGGGGAAAUUCACAUUGCCCCUCGGGCCAAGUUUUGCUUGUGCCAUCGUGUUGGGUUUCUAAAAGCAUUUCAUGUCAACGUCAAAAUAAUGGGAUGAAGACCCGCUAUUUUUAAUGGGAUCUAUUUUGAUUGGAUGACUUGGGCCAUUCAAAUUUUGUAGUUUCCACUUGGAACAACAAAAUUAUUAUGAGAUACGUCAUUUUGAAGAAAGAUUCUAGAAAUAAGAUGUUAAAUUGAUCUCUUUUCCAUGUAGCUGAACUCGUCAACUGUGAGUCUGAGCCAUAUGAUUUCUGUGCCAUACAGAAGCUUAUUGUUCCAAGUUGCCUGUUCAAAGGUUGACCUGUGAACAGUUUGGAUCCAAAUACAAUGAAUGUGAUGAAAUUUACUGAAACCGGGACUCUCUGACUGGCCUGUGGCCUUUAUGAGUUUUAUUUUAGAGGUGACGUCUGAUGUUGAUUGGCCCAAGCAGGGAAAGAUCAAAUGGGAAACGACGGUCACAACUUGUGGGGUGACUUACCAUUCACCAAGUAACACUUCAAAGAAAUUAAUCGAGCCAAUGGAUUUCACAAGUUCCCUCUUUGCAGAAUUUUGAAUAUUUAAAAAGAAUCUUAACUUUUAAAACCUAAAUUUAUAGUUAAUUUUUAGGUGUAAUUGUGUUUUGGAUGUAGUUGGACCAAAAAAAUUAAGUUUUGAUUCAUAUAAGUUUAUCAUUUAAGUCCAAUACUUAAAGAAAGUAUGAAAAUUAAAAAAAAUGAUAUGAAUUUUUUAUCUUUCUAAAAAUGAUAUUUAUUGACUAUGAAAAAAAUAAGUAGAAAAACAUUAAUUUAAAUUUUAUUCUUUUUAUAAACUUCAAUAAAAUUUAAUUUCAUUUAAUGAUUUGAAAAAAAAAACACCAUUUUAAAAAAAAUAAUAAUAAAUUAUUAUUAUUAUUAUUAUUAUUUAAAAAUCAAACAUAUUGAAAAAAAUAUAUUUUUAAAAUUAUAUAUGUAAAAAAUAACUAAAAACAUGUCAAAAUUUUUUUAAAAAUGAUAUAUUUUUAGAAUAUUUUUUUUUAAAAAAAAUAGUUUUCUUAAAAUAAUAAAUUUUCAGAAUAAUUAUUAAAAAAAAUUAAGAUAAAAAAGUUUGUCAAACAUUAUAAUAGAAAACACUCAAAAUAGUUUUGAAGGGUAUAUGAGUGUUUUCAUAUUUUAUAUCCUUCCCCUUGAUUAUGCCCAGAUAGAUCCAAAACAUUAUUAUCCCUAAUUUUUAAACGCUUAAUUAUUGCGAUUUGAGGGUAAAACAUUUUCUUUUAUUCAAUCAAGAUUGAAUUUAAAAUAAUAGCGUUGGUAUUACUCCCUCUCUUUUAUCCUUUUCUUAUUCUAUCUAAUAGUUGUUUUCUCGCCGCCUUUGUGGGCCAAGAUGAACUAAUGCUAAGAAUUUUAUUCAUCUGCUUUCUUUCAAGACUCACUUAUUGAAUAUAAUAUCUCAAUAAAUAUGGAACCUGAUUUUGAUUAUAUUGGUACAAUUAUUGAUACAACUGUUGGCUCCGCUCAUUUUGAUUAUAUUGGUACAAUUUUAUUCAUCCUAACCUCUAUGUCAACAGGACCACUAAACUUAAGAAAAAACACUAAAUUUUGAAUUUUUAACUUCUAAAAAAAAACACCCGACCCGACUACCUAAUCUAAAUGUUUUCCUUUCUCAUUUGAAAGUUUUCUCUCAUCUUUUUUCACUCAUGACAACCCAAAAUUUCUCUUAUUUCAAUUUAGAAACCCAAAACUGAAACUCCAAAGCGGUGUCAAAAUGCCUCUUUCGACAUGCCUCUGGCUGAGACGCCUCAGCUAGGCGCUUGCCUUGAGCCCUAACUACAGUUAACUCUCGUCUAGGAGCUAUGGGAGUCUAAGACAAUUCGGUAAAAACGAAAUAGAGCUCAGAUGGAGAGAGUAGAUGCCCAAAAACUAAAACCCUAACCUCCAAAUGCGUCCUAAACUCGCAAAUUCGUAUUCAAUAUAGCUUUAUCAGACAUAAAUAGCACCAAACAUCUCUCUUAGACCACCGAAUCGACAAAGCCCUUGAAGAACCAAAGGAAACGGUGCAAAAAAUGAAGCGCAGGAGACUUUUAAAGUAUUGGGUGUUGACGAACUUGUUGAUCGAACCUUGAUCGGUCACCUUUGGUAUUUUGGUGACUGCACCUUAGAUACUACCUUAACUAACCUUUGGUACUACCUUAGUUAAACUUGAAUACUACUUGUGUGAAACCUCAGAACUUCAUUUGUGGAUAUGACUCACUUCAUUUGUGACCUUUAGAGCAUGUCAUUUUGUAAUUAAUUAGUGUGGUCAAUUGGUUCACCUUUUGUAUUUUAGUGACUGUACCUUAGACAUUACCUUAAUAGCCCUAAGAUAUAACCUUAAUUUACCUUAAAUACUACCUUAAUUGACCUUAGGUACUACUUUAGUUAAGCUCAUUCAACUUUCUAAGAGCAAGUUGGUGUCCUUUUCAGUUUUAGACAUAAAAUAGGUCAACCGGUUAUCCUUUCUCGAUCAAGGUUUGGUUGAGAAUGAAGUAAGUAAUAUCCACAAAUGAAAUUCCGAGGCUUCAGAUAGGUAGUACCCAAGUUUUACUAAGGUAGUACAUAAGGUUGGUUAAGAUAGUAUCUAAAAAAAAUAUAUGCCAUGAUAAAAGAAAUCCACCAUGAUAAUCCGUUGGGAGAAAAAUCGAUAGAAAAUCGGUAAUUUCACUGAAAAAUCAACGAAAUCUCGGUGAUAAGUUGGGAUGUAUGGCAACUUUGGGCAAUCAGUGGUAUAAAAAAAAUUGUGGUGAAAUAUUAGCAACCCAUUUUUUUGGUGGCAGUUUUUUUUUUUUUUUUAAUUUUAUAAUUUAUCCUGUUUUUAAAAUUUUUAAUUAUUCAUUUUUAAUUUAUCAUUUCAUUUUUAACUAUUUUUUAUAUUUAUCACAUUAAUUUUAUUUAAAAAAAUUACUAUCACUUCACUCUUAAUUUUUCUUAUAUUUAUCCUUUUAAUUUUAUUUAAUUUUAAAUGUUUUUGUUUUAAAAUAUUAAAAAUAUAAUUUUACUAAAAAAUUGUUACAAUAAAAAAAAUUAAUGAAGUUCUAAUAUUUUAUAAAUUAAAAUUAAUUUAAUAAAACAAAUUAUUAAUAAUUUUAAUUAUUAAAAUAAAUUAAUUUUAAUAGAAAAAGUUGUCAAUAUUUGUAAUAAAAUUUUAGAAAUUAAAUCUUAAAUAAAAUAUGUUAUAUAAAUCAAUUUAAUUUUUUAUUUACAAUGUAAUAAAACAUGGUUUAAUAAAAAUAUUUUUAAAAUGUUAAAAUAAAUUAAUAUAAAUAUAUUAAAGGAAAUUAAGCUAUUUUUUUAUGAAAAUUUGAUAAAUAUUAUCUUUAAUCAUGUUUGGUAGUUACAAAAUAAUUUUAAUAUAUAUAUUUUUUUAUUUCAUCAUAUUUUUGAAAGCUUUUUAUAUGAAUUUUGAACUACUUGUGUUUGAUAUGAUAUUUUUGUCAAAAUAUUCAUCGAUAUUUAUUCGAUAUUUUCGAUAUAUCCAUAAAAUUUAAAUACCAUGUAUCCAUAUUUAACGAUAUAUUUCUAACAUUUGAGUUGAUGGGAAAUGUGAAUGAGAUUAAGAAAAAUAGAGAAUGUUGAGUUUUAAUUGGUUAUAAGAAAUGAAAUAAUUCUCAAAUCCAAAAUUUAACGAUUCCCAUAUUUUUUUUGUGGAAAAAUAACUUUUUUUUUUAUAUAUAUAUAAAUGUUAUUUUUUAUUUCAAAUAUAAUGUGAAUGAGAUUAAGAAAAAUAGAGAAUGUUGAGUUUUAAUUGGUUAUAAGAAAUGAAAUAAUUCUCAAAUCCAAAAUUUAACCAUUUCCAUAUUUUUUUGUGGAAAAAUAACUUUUUUAUAUAUAUAUAUAUAUAAAUGUUAUUUUUUAUUUCAAAUAUCUAUAUAUAAGUUUUAAAAAAAAUAAUUAUUUUUAUAAGAAAAUAAUGAGGAUAUUUUUAUCUAAAUGAUCUCAAAAAAAAAAAUACCUAAAGAUAUUUUUGUAUGAUGUCUUGUCCAUCAUAAAAAAAAUUACUCAGGGAGGGUGUAGUUUGGUAAAGAGACCGAGCUCGUGGAUGGAAGCUCUGGCCCACAUCCGAAGAUUUCAUAACGACGUAUAAAGUAUAAACUAUCCUAGGCCUUCGCUUAUAACUUCAUUUGUGUGUUCCUUCCCAGAAUUUGAUUCAAGGUUCGCCCUACAGCCUUUUCAGCUGAUCCAAUUUCAUAGAUUACAUGGAUGCGCCAGUUCUUUUGCUUCUUCUCGCUCUGCUUCUAUCUUCUCCACUUCCAUCGUCUACCCUCGACAGUUUGAGUCAAGGCUCAUCCCUAUCAGUUGGGAAGCCUGAACAAGUUUUAAUUUCACAAAGUAGAAUCUUUUCAGCCGGCUUCUACCCCGUCGGUGACAAUGCUUAUUGUCUUGCCAUGUGGUUCACCAAACCAUCCUACGACGGGAAACAUACGGUUGUUUGGAUGGCAAACCGAAACCAACCAGUUAAUGGGAAUUUCUCAAAGCUUUCCCUGCUAAAAAAUGGUGAUCUUAUCUUAACAGAUGCCGGGCGGUUCAUAGUUUGGGCCACAAAGACGGUUGGGAUUUCUCCGGUGCGAUUACAUCUCUUCAAAUAAAAUACUUGACAGUGGCAUGUUGUGUUGGACCCUUGUAGUUGUUGGUUGUACAGGGCGGAUCCGCUUGAUUAGCUUUUGUAGCAUAUUGUAAGCAUGCAUGGCUCUCAAAAUCUUAAGAGACAGAAAUGAAAUUUACUCUAAUAAUAUAUAUAGACACGUAAAGAUAAAAAUAUACUAUUAUCCUUUUUCAUAUAGUAUUGUAUCUUGUAUAGAAUACAUAAUCACUUGAAGUAAUUGUAUUACCCAAUAAAUUGUACCUAGUUUUAGUGACGUAACCAACAAUUUGAUUUAAGGGUGGCAACUAUUAAUGCAUAUAUAGGCCUUAGCUCAAUAGUCAAGACUUGUUAUUGUUAAGGGAGACAUUAUCUGUCUUGAGUUCAAAUUCUUAUAUUGUAAAAAUUGAAUCUUUUAUUUUUUAGCAUUUUCAUGAGGAGAGAUGACCCCCAUAGGCUCUAUCUGGCUCUAUGUCAAUGCCUAGUUUAUUGAUCGAUGGUGUUUGAAUCUAUUUAUUUUUUAUUCUUAACAUUUUCAAGGGGUAGGUGCCCCUUAGGCCUUACCCAGCUCUACUUGUAUCUAGUUUAUUGAUUGAUGGUGUUUGAAUCUAUUCAUUAUAAAAUUUUCUUAUUUUUUAUUUUAGUUAAUAUUUUAUUUAAAUUGUUAAGCUUGUUUUCAAUGAUUAAAAUAAAUAAAAACAGCAUGCAUUAUUAAUUUAUUACGUCAAGUACAAUAAAAUAAGAAAAUAAUAUACUUGGCUAAAUAAGUUCAUUCAAUAGUAUUUCAGAAAGUAACUUUCAAAUGAUAAGGAAGUAACAAUAUUACACAAAAAAAAAAAAGUUCUCUGAGGUUAAAUUAUAUCUUAUAUUUAAUUAUUAAUAAAAAUAGAAUAGUCAAUUGUACUUUUAUUCAUACCUCAUAUUACUAUAUUAGAUGAUAAGCCAGUAUAGAUAGAUUAAUACUAUGAUUGGUUUCAAAAAAUUAUUAAGAAAAGAAAAAGAAUAUUAAGAAAAAUAGGUUUUUAAUAUCUUAUUUUAGUAUAAAAAUAAAAAAUAAGAUAUAAUUAAAAUUAAUUAAAAACUUACAUAUUUUUAAAUUAUUUGAUAUUUAUAUAAAAAAUAAUAUAUUAACUUAAAUGAGUUUAAGAUGGUAUAUAAAAUAAUUUAUCAGCUUUAAAUUUUUUUUUUUUUUACUUUUACAUGAUACUUAAAAAGGUAUAUAAAUAGAGAAACAGUAUACUAAAUAAAAUAAUUUUAUCUAUAUAUAAAAAUAAUUUAUUAAUUUAAAAUCUAUUUUUAUUUCCUUUUAACUUUUCUUUCCUUUCUUUUUCCAUAUUUUCCAAAUACUUCACAGAGCACUCCACUCCCUUUUUUUUUUUCUUUUUUUUUUCUUUUUUACCUCAAAAUUUCAGAAACCAAACAUAAAAAUACAAACACAGGUGUAAAGUUUGUAUCUUUGUGAAACUCAUGUAAUCCUGACCCAUGGGAACCUUCCCAUACAAUUAAUUUCCUGCAAAGGAAGGCGGCAGCAACAUGUCAUUGGGUGAGCGUCUUAGGAGACAAAAUCUGACCAGCGGUUGAAGGAAAAAUGCACAAUUUAACUUAUCUGUGGAAGCUUGCCCAGCUGGGUCGUUUUCCAAAACACGAGGCUGCAGCUUGGAACCUGGGGCAUUCAUAUUCCAUCAUCAUCAUUAUUAACAUUUUUAUUCCAUCUAGCUUUCACCUUCCCAUGGGAAUUGCUACCAUCCGCACAAGUCAAGAGCGACUUUGUCUUUUCCAUAAAUAUUAGUAUUAUUUGUGUGUUCCUUCCCAGAAUUUGAUUCAAGCUCAGCCCUACGGCCUUUUCAACUGAUCCAACUUCAUAGAUGACAUGGAUGCGCCAGUUCUUUUGCUUCUUCUCACUCUGCUUCUAUCUUCUCCACUUCCAUCGUCCACCCUCGACAGUUUGAGUCAAGGCUCAUCCCUCUCAGUUGGAAAGCCUGAACAAGUUUUGAUUUCACAAAGUGGAAUCUUCUCAGCUGGCUUCUACCCCGUCGGUGAUAAUGCUUAUUGUCUUGCCAUAUGGUUCACCAAACCAUCCUACGACGGCAAACAUACCGCUGUUUGGAUGGCAAACCGAAACCAACCAGUUAAUGGGAAUUUCUCAAAGCUUUCGCUGCUAGAAAGUGGUGAUCUUAUCUUAACAGAUGCUGGGCGGUUCAUAGUUUGGACCAUAAAGAGGGUUGGGAUUUCUCCGGUGCAAUUACACCUCUUCAACACUGGUAACCUUGUGCUGCGUACCUCGGAUGGUGUUAUUCAAUGGCAAAGUUUCGAUUCACCAACAGAUACCCUUCUCCCUCACCAACCACUCACCAGAAAUACGAGACUCGUCUCUUCAAGAACCAAAACCAACUUUUUCUCAGGGUUUUAUAAGCUCUAUUUUGACAACAAUAACGUCCUCAGUCUUGUCUUCGAUGGGCGGGACGCUUCAAGCAUUUACUGGCCCCCAUCGUGGCUUGUAAGCUGGCAGGCGGGAAGAUCGGCAUACAACAGCAGCAGAACUGCAUUACUAGAUAACUUUGGCUAUUUUUCUUCAUCCGACGAUUUUAAGUUUCAGUCCUCGGAUUUUGGUGAGAGAGUCCAAAGAAGAUUGACCCUGGAUAUUGAUGGCAACUUACGAUUAUACAGUUUUGAGGAAAGGAGAAAUAAGUGGGUUGUUACUUGGCAAGCCAUCACGCUACAAUGCAACAUUCAUGGAAUAUGCGGACCCAACAGUAUUUGUACCUAUGUGCCUGGUUCUGGGAGUGGAAGGAGAUGCUCUUGCAUACCUGGAUAUGAGAUGAAAAAUCGCACUGACCGAACUUAUGGAUGCAUACCUAAAUUCAAUCUUUCUUGCGACUCACAGAAGGUUGGUUUCCUCCUACUCCCACACGUUGAGUUCUACGGCUAUGAUUAUGGCUAUUACCCCAAUUACACCUUACAGAUGUGUGAAAAACUGUGCUUGGAAAUAUGUGGCUGCAUAGGAUAUCAAUACAGCUAUAAUUCGGAUGUUUAUAAAUGUUAUCCUAAGCGGCUGUUGCUCAACGGAUACCGCUCGCCUAGUUUUGUAGGACAUAUAUACCUAAAAUUGCCUAAAGCUAGUCUUCUUUCCUAUGAAAAACCGGUUAAGGAAUUCAUGUUAGAUUGCUCUGGCAACCGCUCAGAGCAGCUAGUAAGAUCUUAUGCAAAAGCCCACGAAAAUGAAGUGUUAAAGUUCAUCCUCUGGUUUGCGUGCGCAAUUGGAGCAGUUGAGAUGGUUUGCAUUUGUAUGGUGUGGUGUUUCUUGAUGAAGGCCCAGCAAAACACCAGUACAGAUCCGCCAGGCUACAUUUUAGCUGCCACGGGAUUCAGAAAAUUCACCUAUACUGAGCUGAAGAAAGCAACACGGGGUUUCAGUGAGGAGAUUGGCAGAGGAGGAGGUGGGGUUGUAUACAAAGGUGUCUUAUCAGACCACCGAGUGGCAGCCAUCAAGCAGCUCAGUGGAGCUAACCAAGGAGAAUCUGAAUUCUUGGCAGAAGUAAGUACCAUUGGGAGGCUUAACCACAUGAACUUGAUAGAGAUGUGGGGUUAUUGCUUUGAGGGGAAGCACAGGCUCUUGGUUUAUGAAUACAUGGAGCAUGGAUCACUAGCACAAAACCUCACUUCCAAUACACUUGAUUGGCAGAAGAGGUUCGACAUUGCGGUGGGCACAGCAAAAGGCCUGGCUUAUUUACACGAAGAGUGCUUGGAGUGGGUUCUACACUGCGAUGUGAAGCCUCAAAACAUACUCCUAGACGUUAAUUAUCAGCCAAAGGUGGCAGACUUCGGCCUGUCAAAGUUACAGAACAGAGGAGAAAUCAACAAUUCGAGAUUGUCGAGGAUCAGAGGAACAAGAGGUUACAUGGCUCCAGAAUGGGUUUUGAACCUCCCCAUCACCUCCAAAGUAGACGUUUAUAGCUAUGGUAUUGUGGUUCUGGAGAUGGUUACCGGCCGAAGGAGUGCUUCAAUGGCCAUCCACGGUACAGAUGGCAUAGGGGAACGUCAGAGUUUGGUGGCAUGGGUGAAAGGGAAGAUGAAUGGAGCAACUGCGGUUGCUUCGUGGAUGAAAGAAAUCCUAGACCCGUCGAUGGAAGGCGAAUAUGACAUGGGUGAGAUGGAAAUUCUAGUAGCAGUGGCUUUGCAAUGUGUGGAAUUGGACAAGGAUGAAAGACCCACCAUGAGUCAGGUGGUCGAGACGCUUCUCCGCCCCGAACGUGGAAACAAUCAUCACUACUAAUAAAUUAAUGCCUCGUAUGGGGCCCAAGUGAGGUGGCUUUCUGUACCUGUUCCGCCCAUUUAUGAUAUUUGUAAAAAGACAGUAAUUUUAAGUAGAAUAAUUGAGAAGCCGAAUCUUUUGAUACAACAUACAAUAUAAUUAUAUUGAAGUAUCUUUUUAAAAGAUACAACUUGGUUAUAAAUUUUAAUGUCAAUCUUCUCGAAUGUUAAGUAAAAAAUUGUUUAAUUUUUUUAGAAAAUCUUUAAUAUUAUGUCACUAUAUUUAAAGUAUUUUUUAAGAGGUUAUCAAAAUUUGAUAUUAUUUUUUAAUUCAAAUUUAUAAUUAUAAUUUAUAAAUAGUUUUUUAAUUAUUAUAAAAUACCGGACUUCUUACUAGAUCAAUUAGAAUGGACGAUCAUCUAUUCCUCUAUAUCUCUUCAAUAUUGUUGCUAUCCUCCUCCCAACUUUAUAUAAAAUAAAAAUUUUACUAAUAAAUAUUACAUGGAAUUUUGUUCCCAAUAUCUCUCCUUCGUACUCUUAUCUUAUUAAACUCUUCUUUUACAAUAUUAAUUGAUAUAUUUUAGGUAUUUGUAUGUUAGUGAAUUAAUUUAAAUAUCGUAGGUUUUGACUUUUGGGACAACCAUUUUAGAGAGCUCAUACAUCACGCACUACCACCUCAACCUUCUUUGACAUUCAUUUAUUUAUUUUUAUUACCUUUCGAUCGGUGAUAUCAUUGCUUAGGAACAAUAAUUAUUGUGAAGGCAUUUUAUCUUUUUCGUUUACCCAAGAAUAAUCAUACUAAUAUAAACAAAUAAUUUUGAUCAUGCACAAAUAAAUAUAUUUUUAUAAAAUUUAGAUUUAAUUUUUUAGUAUAUGACAUAGAUUCUUCUUCUUCUCCUUUGCUAAAUCUCAUGUGGUUGGAUUUGGAGCAUCGACUGUACGUAUUAUUCAAUUGUGAAAGACAAAUUUCAUUGAGUUGAAAGACCAAUGGGCCAUGGACGCAAUGCUUGCUUCACUUAAUUUUUUAAAACUCGUUUUUAGUAGUACAAAUUUUUUUAUUAUAUAAAGUAUUGAUGUUAUUAUCUUUUUAUAUUAAUUUUAUUUUUCUUCCAUUUUUUAUAUUGAUUUUAUAAAAACAUAUCUUGGGAUAUUAUUUCACUAAAAACAUAUCAUAUGCAUAACCGUUUAACAUGCAAUUUUUUCAUACAUAAUCAAAGAUAGACUUUUUUUUCCUUUUACUUUUUUUCCUUCUUUUUUUUUUUUUGGUAUUUUGUCGUAAACAAACACGGUCUUAGAAUUUAAUCACAAACAAAGUAUUAUGUUACUUUUAAUCAAAUUUAAGGACUUGGCAUGCCUGUCAUGUACUUUAGACACAAAUGAAAAGUUUGAGGUCUCCUAUUGAAAAUUUAAUUCAUUCCAGUAUACCAUAUUAUUAUUAUUAUUAUUAUUUUGGUGAUCAUGGGUAUAAAUAUUACUAGGAAAAAAGGCAAAUUGACGUAAUAGAAGGCCUAACGGCUCAUGUUUUGUAUUUAUUUAAAUUAGUAUUUAUUAAUCAUUUAUUGAUGUGAUAAAAAAUUUGUAAUUCAAAAUUUGAUUUUAUCAAGUGAAGUACCCGAUAAACAGAAACGGAGGAACCUAAAGGGAGGGAAAAAAAAAAGGUGAAAUGAAGACACAUCCAAAAACCCUAAUGGCCUAUUGUCACACCCUCGAAAAUCACCUUAAAUUUUUCUUACGAGUGCGUGGUGCUAAGGACCCGUCCUUAGCCAACCUUCCCUUCCCAACGUUUAGAAGAACAGAAUAGAAUACAGAAAUCAAAGCAACAGGGACACACGAGGUUGCAGGAAAAUCCUUUCCCAACUUGUAUUAAUCACUCUUACAAGACAAAAUUGCUUCUUGAACUAGAGUACAAUGCACUUACCCAAGGCAUACAAGAAGGAAUCCUUUCCCCAACUCUCACCCUCUGUUUCAAGGCUGCAGGAGCCCUAUUUAAAUGACUCAUCUACAGUUACACAUUUGAAUUCCCUCAAUUCAAAUCUUGGAGCCAACUAGGUGGUCAUGCAACUGGCCAGAACUGCCCUCAACUGCUUGCACAACCACCCACUGUGGAUUCGGCUCCUUGCGACACGUGGCAUCGCGCAUUUCACCCGGACGGAAAUUCUCCCUUAUUCCACCCGAAUAUCUCAUAUCCGGAAUUCUGUCCGCUGACGUUCCACUCGGAUAUCUCACAUCCGGCGCCUGUCCGCCGCCGUUCCACUCGGAUAUCUUACAUCUGGCGCCUGUCCACCGUUGUUCCACCCGAAUAUCUCUCAUCCGACGCCCCAUGUCAUCGGAUAGGAGAGGAGGACGAUUCAACUUCCCCAGGUAGACAUGUCCGAAUCCUUUGGUAACGCCUAUUCGGGGUGCGCGCAUGACUUGUCCACGAUCCCCACACUUAGCUCCUGGGGUUUGAACCACAAAACCUCCAGGCUUUCCUUGCUUUCCACCUAGGCUCUCAUAGGUGCAAGACCUACCCAUGAGGCUUAUUUCUCCGGGUUUGAAUCAAGUGGAUAAGGGGUUGACACAUAUCCCCUAAAAAUUCUAGCUUUAGAAUUAUUGUCCUAGAAGAAAAAGACGAGCAAGUGUUUUCUCACAUCAUGGAGUUACUAUAUAACGUUAAAAAACUAAAGUAUUGUUUGUUUUCUUAAUUUUUUAUUUCGGUUUUUUUUAAACCUUUCAUUAACUUAUUAUUUACUUCUUAAAUUUUUUUAUUAAAUAAAAAAUUUUAAAUAUAUAAAAUUUUUAAAUAUUGAAAAUAAUUCAUUAAUUUUUCUUUACUUAUUUAAUAAAAAUAAAAUAUAAAAAAUGAACAAUUUAAUACUUAAUAUUAUUAAAUACUAUUUAAUUUUAAAUUUUAUUUAAAAUUAAGUUAAAAAGAAACACCAUUUAAAUGUCUUCAUUGUGUGUUGGACAUUAUCAACUCUACUCUUUUAUAAAAAAAUUUAUUUUAGGAAAUUUUAGUUUCCAAAUGAAGUAGGUUUAUAAACAUAUCAAUUGCCUUAAAUUUAAUUGAAAUAAAUAAACAAUAAAAAAACACUUGAAUUGAUUAAGGAACAAUUUUUUUAUGCCAAGGGAAGAUGGUGGUGAUAUAUUGAUUUGAGUAAGGAUUUCAUAAUUUCUCAAAAGAAAGAGAAAGAGGAAAAAGCAAGAUUUAUUAAAAGAUAGAUACAUUAGGAUAUCAUAUUCGAAUUUAGUAUUUUUGUUUUCUCUUCUUUAUAAAACUAAAUAAUAGAAAUCAAAUACUUUUACCAACUUCGCAUACUGCACCGUUUCGUUUUUCACUUCGUCUAAUUUUACCUUCAAUUCAUUUGUUUCCUAUUUUAUUUCUUGAAACAUGUAUUGACUAAAGCCUCUGUACCAAUGUUUCAGGACAUGGAGAGGUAGCCGUCCUCCUCCGGCCUCUCCUCCGGUCACAUAAGCUUCUCAACUAUCUGGCUCAUCGUGGGUCUUGAGUCCCUGUCUUCCUCCACACAUUCCAAGGCAACUCCAAUCAGAAUUUCCAUCCGGCGCAGGUCGCAUUCGCCUUGCAUCACAGGGUCCAGGAUGUCUUCAAUCCACGACCCCCUGGCACCAAUCCCAUUCAUUCGAUCCCUCACCCAUUUAAUCAACCCACGCUGCUCUGUCUCUCCUUGGGCAUCAGUAUCGGGGAUAGCAGUUGGGCUCUUCCCUGUCACCAUCUCCAAAACCACGAUUCCAUAGUUAUAAACGUCUACCUUGGAGGUUAUGGGAAGGUUGAAUACCCAUUCAGGAGCCAUGUAUCCUCUGGUUCCUCUGAUCCUCGAGAAACUUGAAUUGUCAAGCCCUCCUCUGUUUCGCAGUUUCGACAUCCCAAAAUCGGCCACUUUUGGCUGGUAAUUAGAGUCCAAGAGUAUGUUCUGAGGCUUGACGUCACAGUGCAGAACCCACUCCAAGCAUUCUUCGUGUAAAUAAGCUAGGCCUCUGGCCGUGCCAAGCGCUAUUUGGAACCUCUUCUCCCAAUCAAGAGUAUUGGAAGAUAGCUUUUGUGCCAAGGAUCCAUGUUCCAUGUACUCAUACACCAACAGCCGGUGCUUCCCCUCUAUGCAAUAUCCCCACGUCUCUAUUAAGUUCAUGUGAUUAAGCCUUCCAAUGGUGCUCACUUCUGCUAGAAAUUCUGCUUCUCCUUGAUUGGCUUCUUUGAGGCGCUUGAUUGCUGCCACUCGACGAUCAAGCAAUACACCUUUAUAUACCACUCCUCCACCUCCUCUUCCAAUCUCUUGGGUGAAACCUCGCGUGGCCUUCUUCAACUUUGCAUAGCUGAAUCUUUUAAACCCGUUUGCAACGAGGAUGUAGCCUUGCAUGGUCGAGACUGGAUCAUGGUGUACCCUAAAUAAGAAAAGCCAUACCAGCAAGACAAUUGCCCCCUCUAGAACUCCCAGUACGUAGGCAAACCAAAGCAAAAACUUCAAUGACCCAUUUUCAUGGCCCUUGCGAUAUGUUGUAUCUAGCUGUAUAUAACGAGUGUUGCCUGAACAAUUCAUGGUGAAUUCUUCAAGAGUGUUGGAAAUCAAGCCAGCAUCCUCUGUUUACUUCCCUAAUUAGUGUAAUGUACAGCCUUUAUUAUAAUUGAUUUAGGAGUAAUUCUAGCAAGGUAGUUUAUUCACUUUCCAUGUAAGAGUAGUUUAUUCACUUCCCAUGUAAGAGUAGUUUAUUCACUUCCCAUGUAAGAGUUUAUUCACUUUCCAUGUAAGGGAAAUUCCAUUCCGGAAUUGUCUCAUAUCUGUAGGCUAUUUAUUUAUGCUUUCAUUCAUUGUAAAGGGUGAGAUCACGGAAUGAAUUGAGGUGUUCCUCCAUAGUUUGUCUUCAAAUUCUUCAUAUUUUUCUUCAAAUUCUUCAAAGAUGAUCAUAUCUGGGAAAGAGACUAGCUUUAGGCAGUUUUAGAUACAUGGUUCCAGGAUAAUUUGGCGAACUGAAUCCAUUAAGCAAGAGGGUAUUUGGGUAACAAUCGUAAAGGUCGUCGCUAAAAUUUAGCAGGAAGGCCUUGCAUUUGCACAACUGUAAGCAUAGAUUUUCACACCUUUCGUAGGUGUAAUUGGGGUAGUGACCAUAGUCAUAGCCGUAGAGUUGAACAUGAGGGAGUGGGAAGAAGCCCACCUCAGUUUGGUUACAAGCGAUAUCAGUUUCUGGUGCACACCCAUAAGACUAGUCAGUUGAAUUUACAAUCUUGAAUCCAGGCAUGCAAGAGCAUCCUCUGCCAUAAGCAGGGGUGUAACUGCAGAGACUAUUGGGUUCGCAGAUGCCAUGAAUCUGGCAUGGUUGGGAGAUAGCCUGCCAUGAAACCGACCAGGUUCCUCUCGUUUCUUCUAGACUAUACAUUCUAAGAUUGCCAUCGAAAUCGAGGGCCAAUCUUCUCUGAGGCCCUGCACCAAAAUCCGCUGACCGAAAUUCCAAAUCAUCUGAUGCUCUAUAAUAACCCAAAGAAUCGAAUACUGCGAUUCGACUGUUGUUGUAUGUGCUCCUUCCAGCAUCCCAGGUCACCAGGCUUAGGUCUGGCCAAUAGAUGCUGGAAACCUCAGUACCAUUGAAGAGAAGGCGGAUGACGUUAUCACUGUCAAAAAAUAGCUUAUAAAAACCAGAAGAAUAGUUGCUUUGGCUUCUUGAGGAGAUAAGGCUGGUAUCUUUGGUCAGUAUCUGGUGAGGAAGAAGAGUAUCUGUGGGUGAGUCAAAGCUCUGCCAAAUCACCGUCUUCUCCCAAGCAUAUAGAACAAGAUUGCCGGUGUUAAGGAGCUGUAAUCUCGCAGAUGAGGUUGAAACUGUCACGCCCCAAGACCCACUCCAAGGGCGUGACGGUCAUUUCACACCUCAAACCCGAAGGCUUAAAGUAUAAUCUGACCCGAACAAUCAUAUUAUAACUAGAUGUUACCAAUUACCAAAUACCUGUUCAGAGUAGCAGAACAAAAUCUAAAUUCCUCAAAAUUCAAUUUCCAAAUAACUUCCAAAUAUCAAAUGAUCCAAAUGAACAUAACUAACAGUUAAACAAAAUCCAACAUAAAAUCCUAAGUCAAAUCUUAAUGAUGACCAUUCUUCAGCCUAGCCAUCACUCCUCACCCGAACUAAGAGUACCUGAAAAUUUUCAACAAUUGGGAAUGAGCUCACAGCCCAAUAAGGAAUAUUAAUGCAAUUCAUGGAUCAAAUAUUUUCAUUUCAAAUAGGAGAUAUCAAUUUUUUUUUUUCUCAUCAAAUAUCAGAGUUCCAAAAAUACCAAUAUAUUCAAAAUUCAACCAACCAAUUUCAUAUCAAAUUCAAACACUUUCACAUAAAAUUCAAUCAAAUUCAUUCAAGUUUCAUUACUCUGGUUAUCAAAUAUCAAAUGCCCAGUUAGGUGGGACUUUUCAAAUGGGUGGCUAGCCUCAAAUUGUUCCUGGUGGACGGAACCUAAACACNNNNNNNNNNNNNNNNNNNNNNNNNNNNNNNNNNNNNNNNNNNNNNNNNNNNNNNNNNNNNNNNNNNNNNNNNNNNNNNNNNNNNNNNNNNNNNNNNNNNCCGAACUAAGAGUACUGAAAAUUUUCACAAUUGGGAAUGAGCUCACAGCCCAAUAAGGAAUAUUAAUGCAAUUCAUGGAUCAAAUAUUUUCAUUUCAAAUAGGAGAUAUCAAUUUUUUUUUUUCUCAUCAAAUAUCAGAGUUCCAAAAAUACCAAUAUAUUCAAAAUUCAACCAACCAAUUUCAUAUCAAAUUCAAACACUUUCACAUAAAAUUCAAUCAAAUUCAUUCAAGUUUCAUUACUCUGGUUAUCAAAUAUCAAAUGCCCAGUUAGGUGGGACUUUUCAAAUGGGUGGCUAGCCUCAAAUUGUUCCUGGUGGACGGAACCAAACACUACUAGUACUAGUAACCUCUAACCAAACCCCUAGAGGCUGGGGUCCAAAUCAAUUACAUUCCCACCAUGAAAUGUAAAGGUCAACUAUUAUAUCCCGUUGAUAGGGCCGAAUAGUCAAUUAUUAUAUCCCGUUGACAAGGGUCAAAUAAACCAGAGUGAUGUUUUUGUUCAAGUUUUCAAAUUUACACAACAUAAUAUCUCCAUAUUUUGUGUCAUAAAUAAAACAAAAUAUUCCAACAUAACAUUUAGUGCAAAACAAUUUGAUCCAUGCAUGGUAACAAAAUAUCAUUUUCUUUUCCACAAUUCAAAAUAACAUAUAAGAUAAUUUAAUUUUAUAAAUAUUACAUUAACUUCCCUUACCUCAAAAGAAGUCCUUGAAAGCUUGGGAGAAGAAUAAUUCUGAAAAAAAAAAUAUAAUCUACUCUUCACCUAAUAUAACAUAAAAGAAACAAUUAUUACUAUUUAUUUAUAAUUUAACUAAUCUAUUCCUUAUUAAAAAAAAAUUAAAAAAUUCCCAAUUGGUUUUUAAUAUACCAUUACUAAUUUAAUUAAAUAAUACCUUUAUUUGGCUAUAAAAUUCUAUAUUUAUAUAUUUAUAUAUGGCUAAUUUUCUUUUUCUUUUUUUACCAAAAAUACCAUUUUUAUUUUUUUUUUAUUUAAAAAUUUAAAACUAAUUUUUUUUUUUUAAUUACCCAAUUCCAACCCAUCCACCUUGGGGUACACCAAACCAAAAAGCAAGUUUUUAUUUUUAUUUUUUAUUUUUUUUUCAUUCCCAACCAGGAUCCAUUAAUAUAUAUAUAUAUAUAUAUAUAUAAAAGGGGCUUCCUGGCACACGCACCUUUUUUUUUUUUUUUUAAUAAAAUUAACCCUAACCUAAAAUCAAAACCUUCCAAGAAAUUUUUUUUUUUUUCUAAUAAAACUUAAGAUCUCCCAAAUUCCAAUACUAAAAUCAAAAUAUUAAAUUUUCACUAUUUGAUAUUAAAACGAAUUAAAAAAAUAAUCUAACCCUAAUCUAGAUUUGGGGUUUUCCAAAAAAAUAUAUCUAAUGUGUUUGAAAUUAAUCAAUGAAUCUAAAAUAUUAAACUAGGGGUUAGAAUCUUACCUAUAGAGAUCUGUUCUUCAACCCUGAAAUCUGACUCCAAUCUUACGUUCUCUGGAAUUCUACGAACAGGAAAUCUAUUCAGAAAAAAAGGGAAAAAAAUAAAAUUUCUAAUUUAUACCUAGGGUAUUUAUUCGUAAAAUUACACUUUUACCCUUCUUCCACUUUAUUAAAUUAAUUAAUUAAUUAAUUUAAUUAUUAAUAACAAUUUCCUAAAUUACCCUUAAAAGAAAAUGCUUGGGCAUUACAUCCUCCCCUCCUUAACAAAAGUUUAGUCCUCUAAACUUGACAUACCUGAGUCUUGAAAUAAUUGAGGAUGUUUUUCUCUCAUCUCUUCUUCUAACUCCCAAGUGGCCUCUCGGAUACUAUGAUUGCUCCACUGGACCUUUACCAACUUGACAACAGCAUGUCGUAGUACCUUAUCCAUCAUAUCCACAAUUUGAACGGGUACCUCUUCAUAGGUCAAGUCCUCAAAAUUUUGAAUAGGCUCCAACUCCACAACAUGAGAAGGAUCAUAAAUAUACUUCCUUAGAGUCGAAACAUGAAACACAUUAUGAACCUUAGACAAGCUUGGGGGCAAGACUACUUUAUAUGCCAAAGUGCCUACUCUUUCUAAUAUUUCAAACGGACCCACAAAACGAGGACUAAGUUUUCCUUUUCUCCCAAAUCUCAUCACAUACUUCAUAGGUGAAACUUUCAAGAACACAUGAUCACCCACCUCAAACUCCAAAUCUCGCCUACGAUGAUCAGCAUAACUCUUAUGUCUACUUUGAGCUGCUUUUAAUAUUUCUUUAAUCAAAGCAACCUUUUCAACAGUCAACUGCACAAGUUCAGGCCCCAAAAGUUUCCUUUCUCCAACAUCAUUCCAAUAGAUAGGAGAUCGACAUUUCCUACCAUACAAUGCCUCAAAAGGUGUCAUCCCAAUGCUAGCUUGAAAACUAUUGUUAUAGGCAAACUCUACUAAAGGUAAAUGAUCAUCCCAAUUACCUUGCAGGUCCAAAAUACAAGCUCUCAACAAGUCUUCCAAAACCUUAAUUACCCUUUCUGAUUGGCCAUCAGUUUGAGGAUGGAAAGCAGUACUAAAACUCAACUUAGUGCCCAAAGUUUUUUGUAGACUAUGCCAGAAUCUAGAAGUGAAACGAGGAUCUCUAUCAGACACUAUAGAAACUGGUACUCCAUGCAUUCUCACAAUCUCCUUCACAUAAAGAGAAGCUAAACGAUCUAAAGAAAAGUUCACUUUCAUAGGUAAAAAGUGAGCAGACUUUGUCAACCGAUCAACAAUCACCCAAAUAGCAUUAUUACCCCCUAAGGUUCUUGGCAAUCCUAUCACAAAAUCCAUGGUAAUAUGCUCCCACUUCCACUCAGGAAUAGCAAGUGGCUGCAAAGACCCUGCUGGUCGUUGAUGUUCAGCCUUCACCUGUUGACACACUAAAUACUGAGCCACAAAUUGUGCAAUAUCACGCUUCAUACCUGACCACCAAUAGUUUUGCCUCAAAUCCUUGUACAUCUUUGUCCCUCCUGGGUGGAUUGCAAACUUGGAACAAUGAGCUUCCUCUAAAAGCUCCCUCUUUAAGUCUUCAUCAUUUGGGACACAAAGUCUAGUCCCAAAUCUCAAGAUCUCAUCAUCUGACAAAACAAAAUCAGGCUUACUGUCCCUCUUAACUUCCUCCAUAACUUGCACUAAUUGGGAAUCAUUCUUUUGUAGGGUCUUAAUUCUCCCAACUAAGUCUGGUUGUACUCUGAAAUUUGCUACAAGUGCUCCUAAGCCCAUAACUCGAAAGUGGACUUGUAAACUCCUCAACUCUUCAAGUAACUGCCUUUGACAACCUCUAAUAGCUGCUAGAGAACCAACUGACUUCCUACUCAAGGCAUCAGCUACAACAUUCGCCUUCCCAGGAUGAUACUGAAUAAUACAAUCAUAGUCCUUAAGUAGUUCUAUCCAUCUUCUCUGUCUUAUGUUCAACUCCUUUUGGGAAAAUAGAUACUUCAAACUCUUAUGAUCUGUGAAUAUCUCACAAGUUUCACCAAAAAGAAAAUGUCUCCAAAUCUUAAGUGCAAAAACCACAGCAGCUAACUCCAAAUCAUGAGUAGGGUAAUUCCUUUCAUAAGGCUUCAACUGUCUAGAAGCAUAAGCUACAACUCUCCCAUGUUGCAUAAGAACACAACCUAAACCCUGAUGAGAAGCAUUACUAUACACCACAAAUCCUCCUGAACCUGAAGGGAUAGUCAAAAUAGGAGCUGACACUAAUCUAUUCUUCAACUCUUGGAAGCUACAUUCACAAUCAUCAGACCACUCAAACUUAACUCCCUUCUGUGUCAACUUAGUUAAAGGUAGGGCAAUCUUAGAGAACCCUUCUAUAAACCGCCUAUAGUAACCAGCAAGUCCCAAGAAACUUCGAAUCUCAGUCACAGUACUAGGUCUUCUCCAAUUAGCUACAGCAUCUACCUUGCCAGGGUCAACUGAGAUGCCAUCAUUGCUUACCACAUGCCCAAGGAAAGAAAUUCAGUCUAACCAAAACUCACACUUCUUCAGUUUAGCAUACAACUGCUUAUCUCUGAGGAUAUGUAAUACAAUACUCAAAUGGCCCUCAUGCUCCUCUCUACUUCUUGAGUAUACCAAGAUGUCAUCUAUAAAAACCACCACAAAUUGAUCUAAAUAGGGUUUGAAUACCCUAUUCAUCAAGUCCAUAAAAGCAGCAGGUGCAUUAGUCAAACCAAAAGGCAUAACAAGAAACUCAUAGUGCCCAUACCUAGUUCGAAAAGCAGUCUUGGGUACAUCUUCCCCUCUAACCCUCAACUGGUGAUAACCCGAUCAAAGAUCUAUCUUAGAGAACACACAAGCACCUUGUAACUGAUCAAACAAAUCAUCAAUCCGAGGAAGGGGAUACUUGUUCCUCACUAUCACCUUAUUCAACUCCCUAUAGUCAAUGCAAAGUCUCAUUGAGCCAUCCUUCUUUUUCACAAAUAGAACAGGAGCUCCCCAAGGUGAAACACUAGGCCUGAUAAAACCCUUGUCUAAUAACUCUUGAAGCUGAACUUUCAACUCCUUAAGCUCCACAGGUGCCAUCCUGUAUGGGGCCUUAGACAUAGGACCUAUUCCUAGUACUAGAUCAAUGGUGAACUCCACCUCUCUCUCUGGUGGCAAGCCAGACAAAUCCUCUGGAAAGACAUCAGGAUACUCUCUUACUAUAGGUAUGUCUUCCAACUUCAAAUCACUUUCAUUACUCACCAUACUAGCCAAAAAUCCUUGGCAACCCUUCUUAAGCAAGCUACUAGCACGCAAGGCUGAGAUCAUACGCAGUGGUCUGUCCACAUGCUUCCCUUCAAAGCUAAACUUAGGCUGACCAGGAAUACUAAAUGUCACUCUUUUCUCAAAACAGUCAACAGAGGCAUGGUAGGAAGCUAACCAAUCCAUACCCAAAAUCACAUCAAAAUCCUGAAGGUCAAGGAGUACUAAAUCAACUGGCAUUUCCCUAUAACCAAUCAUCACAAUACAAUUUCUAAGCAUUCUACUGGCCACAACAGAAUCUCCCACAGGAGUAGCAACAAUCAAAUCAAAGUCCAUGCUAACAACAGGCAAACCCAACAAACCAGCAAAAGAUACUGAAACAAAAGAGUGUGUUGAUCCAGGAUCAAUCAGACUCUAGCAAAUAAGGUGUGGAUUCGGAGAGUACCUGUCACCACAUCAGAAGUGGCCUGAGCAUCUCGAUGAGUCAUAGCAAACACCCGUCCUUGGGCUUUGGGUUUCUGUUUUAUCUCCUUAUUUUCCUCUUUAAGCUUCCCAGUGAUGAACUUACCUAUUCCUCUGAUCAAAUGUCCUUGCNNNNNNNNNNNNNNNNNNNNNNNNNNNNNNNNNNNNNNNNNNNNNNNNNNNNNNNNNNNNNNNNNNNNNNNNNNNNNNNNNNNNNNNNNNNNNNNNNNNNGUGAUAACCCGAUCGAAGAUCUAUCUUAGAGAACACACAAGCACCUUGUAGCUAAUCAAACAAAUCAUCAAUCCGAGGAAGGGGAUACUUAUUCCUCACUGUCACCUUAUUCAACUCCCUAUAGUCAAUGCAAAGUCUCAUUGAGCCAUCCUUCUUUUUUACAAAUAGAACAGGAGCUCCCCAAGGUGAAACACUAGGCCUGAUAAAACCCUUGUCUAAUAACUCCUGAAGCUGAACUUUUAACUCCUUAAGCUCCAUAGGUGCCAUCCUGUAUGGGGCCUUAGACAUAGGACCUGUUCCUGGUACCAGAUCAAUGGUGAACUCCACCUCUCUCUCUGGUGGCAAGCCAGGCAAAUCCUCUGGAAAGACAUCAGGAUACUCCCUUACUAUGGGUAUGUCUUCCAACUUCAAAUCACUUCCAUUACUCACCACACUAGCCAAAAAUCCUUGGCAACCCUUCUUAAGCAAGCUACUAGCUCGCAAGGCUGAGAUCAUACGCAGUGGUCUGUCCACAUGCUUCCCUUCAAAGCUAUACUUAGGCUGACCAGGAAUACUAAACGUCACCCUUUUCUCAAAACAGUCAACAGAGGCAUGGUAGGAAGCUAACCAAUCCAUCCCCAAAAUCACAUCAAAAUCCUGAAGGUCAAGGAGUACUAAAUCAACUGGCAUUUCCCUAUAACCAAUCAUCACAAUACAAUUUCUAAGCAUUCUACUGGCCACAACAGAAUCUCCCACAGGAGUAGCAACAAUCAAAUCAAAGUCCAUGCUAACAACAGGCAAACCCAACAAACCAGCAAAAGAUACUGAAACAAAAGAGUGUGUUGAUCCAGGAUCAAUCAAGACUCUAGCAAAUAAGGUGUGGAUUCGGAGAGUACCUGUCACCACAUCAGAAGUGGCCUGAGCAUCUCGAUGAGUCAUAGCAAACACCCGUCCUUGGGCUUUGGGUUUCUGUUUAUCCUCCUUAUUUUCCUCUUUAAGCUUCCCAGUGAUGAACUUCCUAUUCUCUGAUCAAAUGUCCUUGCUUCCCACAACCAAAGCAAGCUCCAGUCUCUCUAUAGCAUGGCCUACCCCCAUGCUUCUUACCACAAGUAGGACAAGCCCCAUCUAAAUUCUGCGCUGCCUUCCCUUUAUUCUGAUUUCUUCCUGAUGUAGACCUUCGCUGUGCUUGAUUACCAUGAGCACCAUCACUCCUAUUUCGCUUCCUUUGCUGUUCCCUAUACUGAUGAAGCUCUUCAUUAUCUUUCUCUGUUAUAAGGGCUCUGUCAACAACCUCUGAAUAGACACCAAGCUUCAGAAUAGAUAUCUUGUUCUUCAAAUAAGGCUUCAAUCCAUCCUGAAACUUUAAUGCCUUUUCCUCCUCUAUAGCAAUCAACUGUGGGGAAAAACGUGAUAACUUUGUAAAUUUGGCCUCAUACUGAGCCACAGUCAUAUCCCUCUGUUCCAAACGAAUAAACUCUCCCACCUUCUGCCACCUAACACUGUCAGGGAAAUACUUCUUGUAGAAAGCCUCCCUAAAUUGUCUCCAUGUUAUGGGUCCCUGAUCCUCCAAAAGUCUCUUAGUCAUACGCCACCAAUGAUCUGUCUCUUUAUCUAACAUAAAAGCUGCAUAAGAGGCUUUUUGCUCCUCAGAGCAAUCUAUGACACCAAAGAAUUUCUCCAUCUUAAGGAUCCAAGCCUCUGCCUCUGUGGGAUCUGUAGCACCAGAAAAGUAAGGAGGACCCAAUUUCUUGAAGUCAUCAAAAGAGCUACCCCUAGAAGAUGAAGACUGUCCCUGAACAUUAGUCCCAACAGCUCGAGCUUGGCGUUCAACUAAACCAACUAGUGUCCCAAGAUACCUAUAGAUCCCUUCUGCACUCACGGGAGGCAAACCCUCAAUUGGAGGUACAUCGUCAUUAGCCUGACUGUUUUGUGAAGAAGUUGUUCUUCUUGGUGGCAUGAUGUCCUAAAAUAAUAAGGCAUAACUAAAUUAGUCACUAAAGAACCAAUUAGAAAAUUUUCCAAUUAAAGAAAGAAUUGGAAUUUAUACUAAAUGAAACUAAAACUUAAACAAAUGCGUUACUCAUCUAUCCCUAAUCUAAACCAAUUCAAAUUCCCAUCAAGAUCAAAACCUAGUGCUCUGAUACCACUCUGUCACGCCCCAAGACCCACUCCAAGGGCGUGACGGUCAUUUCACACCUCAAACCCGAAGGCUUAAAGUAUAAUCUGACCCGAACAAUCAUAUUGUAACUAGAUGUUACCAAUUACCAAAUACCUGUUCAGAGUAGCGGAACAAAAUCUAAAUUCCUCAAAAUUCAAUUUCCAAAUAACUUCCAAAUAUCAAAGAUCCAAAUGAACAUAACUAACAGUUAAACAAAAUCCAACAUAAAAUCCUAAGUCAAAUCCUAAUGAUGACCAUUCUUCAGCCUAGCCAUCACUCCUCACCCGAACUAAGAGUACCUGAAAAUUUUCAACAAUUGGGAAUGAGUUCACAGCCCAAUAAGGAAUAUUAAUGCAAUUCAUGGAUCAAAUAUUUUCAUUUCAAAUAGGAGAUAUCAAUUUUUUUUUUUCUCAUCAAAUAUCAGAGUUCCAAAAAUACCAAUAUAUUCAAAAUUCAACCAACCAAUUUCAUAUCAAAUUCAAACACUUUCACAUAAGAUUCAAUCAAAUUCAUUCAAGUUUCAUUACUCUGGUUAUCAAAUAUCAAAUGCCCAGUUAGGUGAGACUUUUCAAAUGGGUGGCUAGCUUCAAAUUGUUCCUGGUGGACGAAACCAAACACUACUAGUACUAGUAACCUCUAACCAAACCCCUAGAGGCUGGGGUCCAAAUCAAUUACAUUCCCACCAUGAAAUGUAAAGGUCAACUAUUAUAUCUCGUUGACAGGGCCGAAUAGUCAACUAUUAUAUCCCGUUGACAAGGGUCAAAUAAACCAGAGUGAUGUUUUUGUUCAAGUAUUCAAAUGUACACAACAUAAUAUCUCCAUAUUUUGUGUCAUAAAUAAAACAAAAUAUUCCAACAUAACAUUUAGUGCAAAACAAUUUGAUCCAUGCAUGGUAACAAAAUAUCAUUUUCUUUUCCACAAUUCAAAAUAACAUAUAAGAUAAUUUAAUUUUAUAAAUAUUACAUUAACUUCCCUUACCUCAAAAGAAGUCCUUGAAAGCUUGGGAGAAGAAUAAUUCUGAAAAAAAAAUAUAAUCUACUCUUCACCUAAUAUAACAUAAAAGAAACAAUUAUUACUAUUUAUUUAUAAUUUAACUAAUCUAUUCCUUAUUUAAAAAAAAACUAAUAAAUUCCCAAUUUGUUUCUAAUAACACAUUACUAAUUUAAUUAAAUUAUAACUUUAUUUCGCUAUAAAAUUAUAUAUAUAUAUAUAUAUAUAUAUUGCUAAAUCUCUUAUUCUAUUUAUUACAAAAAUACCAUUAUUACUAUUAUCUUAUUUAUAAAUCUAAAACUAAUUAUUAUUAUUUAAUUAACCAAUUCCAAACCACUCAACCUCGGGUACACCAAACCAAAAAGCAAGUUUUUAUUUUUAUUUUUUAUUUUUUUUCAUUGCCAAUCAUGAUCCAUUAAUAUAUAUAUAUAUAUAUAAAAGGGGCUUCCUGGUACACGCACCUUUUUUUUUUAAUAAAAUUAACCCUAACCUAAAAUCAAAACCUUCCAAGAAAUUUUUUUUUUUUUCUAAUAAAACUUAAGAUCUCCCAAAUUCCAAUACUAAAAUCAAAAUAUUAAAUUUUCACUAUUUGAUAUUAAAACGAAUUAAAAAAAUAAUCUAACCCUAAUCUAGAUUUUGGGUUUUCCAAAAAAAUAUAUCUAAUGUGUUUGAAAUUAAUCAAUGAAUCUAAAAUAUUAAACUAGGGGUUAGAAUUUUACCUAUAGAGAUCUGUUCUUCAACCCUGAAAUCUGACUCCAAUCUUACGUUCUCUGGAAUUCUACGAACAAGAACUAUAUUCAGAAAAGAAGGGAAAAAAAUAAAAUUUCUAAUUUAUACCUAGGGUAUUUAUUCGUAAAAUUACACUUUUACCCUUCUUCCACUUUAUUAAAUUAAUUAAUUAAUUAAUUUAAUUAUUAAUAACAAUUUCCUAAAUUACCCUUAAAAGAAAAUGCUUGGGCGUUACAGAAACGGUGUUGAUCAUCCAAACCAUGAUUUUACCAGCAUCAGUUAAGAUGAGAUUGCCAUUCCUCAACAAAGAAAGCUUGGAGCCUCUACCGUUGACCGGUUGGUCAUGGUUCGCCAUCCAAACUGUGGUUGCACCCCAUGAUUUUGUGAACCAUAUGGCGAAGCAGAAAGUGUUGUUGCCGACCUGAUAAAACCCAGCAGAGAAUAUACCAUUUGCUGAAAUGAGAACAUCAUUUGAUUUCUCCACGGAAAGAGACGAGCCUUCGCUCAGAGUAUCAUACGUUUCAGAUGAAGAUGGAUAGCAAGUUAACAGCAAAACCAAAACAAAGAAACCAACUGUCCUAUCCAUGAGUUUUGGGAUAUGGUUCAUGUGCUCUGUUUCCUGAUCAGAUAUUUGCAAUGGAGAAUGCAAGUGUAUGGUGCUACCAGAGUUUAGAAAAUCAAUUGACUCCUUGACUGGGGUGAAGGGGGAAAAUUCACAUUGCCCCUCGGGCCAAGUUUUGCUUGUGCCAUCGUGUUGGGUUUCUAAAAGCAUUUCAUGUCAACGUCAAAAUAUGGGAUGAAGACCCGCUAUUUUUAAUGGGAUCUAUUUUGAUUGGAUGACUUGGGCCAUUCAAAUUUUGUAGUUUCCACUUGGAACAACAAAAUUAUUAUGAGAUACGUCAUUUUGAAGAAAGAUUCUAGAAAUAAGAUGUUAAAUUGAUCUCUUUUCCAUGUAGCUGAACUCGUCAACUGUGAGUCUGAGCCAUAUGAUUUCUGUGCCAUACAGAAGCUUAUUGUUCCAAGUUGCCUGCUCAAAGGUUAACCUGUGAACAGUUUGGAUCUAAAUACAAUGAAUGUGAUGAAAUUUACUGAAACCGGGACUCUCUGACUGGCCUGUGGCCUUUAUGAGUUUUAUUUUAGAGGUGACGUCUGAUGUUGAUUGGCCCAAGCAGGGAAAGAUCAAAUGGGAAACGACGGUCACAACUUGUGGGGUGACUUUCCACUCACCAGGGAACACUUCAAAGAAAUUAUCCCUAAUUUUUAAACGCUUAAUUAUUGCGAUUCGAGGGGUAAAACAUUUUCUUUUAUUGAAUCAAGAUUGAAUUUAAAAUAAUAGUGUUGGUAUUACUCCCUCUCUUUUAUCCUUUUCUUAUUCUAUCUAAUAGUGGUUUUCUCGCCGCCUUUGUGGGCCAAGAUGAACUAAUGCUAAGAAUUUUAUUCAUCUGCUUUCUUUCAAGACUCACUUAUUGAAUAUAAUAUCUCAAUAAAUAUAGAACCAUAUUUUGAUUAUAUUGGUACAAUUAUUGAUACAACUGUUGGCUCCGCUCAAGUCAUUUUGGCGUGGACUUUUAGGGUAUGGUAGAGUGGAGCUUGUAUCACUACUAAUUAUUAAAAUGGUUAAAGGAUGUCUUUGUCAUUUUAGUGCACAUAUAAUUAUUAUUACAAUUGAGGGUCCUCCAAUAUCCCAUUUUUCCAAUUUUGACUUUUGAUCGGAAAAAAUUUAGUAUACAAGGAUAGGAAAAUAUGCUAAAUAAAAUAAUUUUCUCAUAUUUAGGUUUAUUAAAAAUUAUAAAAAAUAAUAUAAUAUAAUAUAAUUAAAAAGUUAUGUAUUUUUAAAUUAGAUAAUUUUUUUAUAAAACAAUUAAAAUAAGUUAAAUGAGUUUGAAAUUCCAUAUAAAAAUAAUUUAUUGAUUUAAAAUCUAUUUUUAUUUCCUUUAACUUUUUUUCAUAUAUUUUUUUUUUGAAUUUUUCAAAUACUUCAAACAGCUAUUUUUAAGUUUGUAUCUUUGUGAAACUCGUGUAAUCGUGACCCAUGAGAACCUUCAAGUCAUUUUGAUUAUAUUGGUACAAUUAUUGGUACAACUGUUGGCUCCGCUCAAGUCAUUUUGGCGUGGACUUUUAGGUUAUGGUUGAGUGGAGCUUGUAUCACUACUAAUUAUUAAUAUGGUUAAAGGAUGUCUUUGUCAUUUUAGUGCACAUAUAAUUAUUAUUACAAUUGAGGGUCCUCCAAUAUCCCAUAUUUCCAAUUUUGAUUUUUCAAGGUAUGAUCGGAAAAAAUUUAGUAUACAAGGAUAGGAAAAUAUGUUAAAUAAAAUAAUUUUCUUAUAUUUAGUUUUAUUAAAAAUUGUAAAAAAUAAUAUAAUAUAAUAUAAUUAAAAAGUUAUGUAUUUUUAAAUUAGGUAAUUUUUUUAUAAAACAAUUAAAAUAAGUUAAAUGAGUUUGAAAUUUUAUAGAAAAUUAAUUUAUUGAUUUAAAAUCUAUUUUUAUUUUCUUUAACUUUUUUUCAUAUAUAUUUUUUUUUUUGUAUUUUUCAAAUACUUCAAGUAGCACCCCAUUUCCUAUUUUCAAGUUUGUAUCUUCGUGAAACUCAUGUAAUCGUGACCCAUGAGAACCUUCAAGUCAUUUUGAUUAUAUUGGUACAAUUAUUGGUACAACUGUUGGCCCCGCUCAAGUCAUUUUGGCGCGGACUUUUAGGGUAUGGUUGAGUGGAGCUUGUAUAACUACUAAUUAUUAAUAUGGUUAAAGGGUGUCUUUGUCAUUUUAGUGCACAUAUAAUUAUUAUUACAAUUGAGGGUCCUCCAAUAUCCCAUUUUUCCAAUUUUGACUUUUCAAGGUCUGAUCGGAAAAAAUUUAGUAUACAGAGAAAAUAUGAUAAAUAAAAUAAUUUUUUCAUAUUUAGUUUUAUUAAAAAUUGUAAAAAAAUAUAUAUAUAAUUAAAAAGUUAUGUAUUUUUAAAUUAGGUAAUUUUUUUUUAUAAAACAAUUAAAAUAAGUUAUAUGAGUUUGAAACUCCAUAUAAAAAUAAUUUAUUAAUUUAAAAUUUAUUUUUAUUUCCUUUAACUUUUUUUCUUAUAUUUUCUUUCGUAUUUUCCAAAUAUUUCAAAUAGCACUCUAUUCCCAUUUUCAAGUUUGUAUCUUUGUGAAACUCAUUUAAUCGUGACCCAUGAGAACCUUCCCAUAACUACAAAGGAAGGUGGCAACAUAUCAUUGGGAGAGUGUCUUAAGAGCCAAAAUUUGACUAGCGGUUGAAAGGAAAAUGCACAAUUAUUGUAGUGGACAAAUACUUUUAACCUCAUUUGUGGAAGCUAGGUUGUUUUUACAAGGGAAACUUGUGUUCCAAGUUAGAUAUUUGAAAGUAAUAUUAUAUUCAAACCCCAAUUAGCUGGAAUAUGAGAUUUGACUAUUAAAAGAGAAAAUAUUAUUGUGUUUGUGCAUUCUAAGUUGGCUCUAUCUUCUAUGCCCAAAUUGCCCUUUUGUUUCUCUAGCUCAACAUCAUCCUAACCUCUUUGUCAACAGGACCACUAAAAUUAAGAAAAAACACUAAAUUUUGAAUUUUUAACUUCUAAAAAAAAAAACACCCGACCCGACCACUUAAUUUGAAUGUUUUCCUUUCUCAUUUGGAAGCUUUCUCUCAUCUUUCUUCAUUCAUGACAACCCAAAAUUUCUCCUAUUUCAAUUUAGAAACCCAAAUCUGAAACUCUAAAACGGUGUCAAAAUGCGUCUUUUGACGUGCCUCUGGCUCAGAUGCCUCAGCUAGGCGUUUGCCUUGAGCCCUAACCGUAGUUAACUCUCGUCUAGGAGCCACGAGAGUGCAAGAGAAUCCAAUAAAAAUGAAAUGGAGCUCGGGUGGAGAGUAGAUGCCCAAAAACUGAAACCUUAACCUCCAAAUGCGUCUUAGACUCGCAAAUUCAUAUCCAAGAUAGUUCUAUAAGACAGAAAUAGCACCAAACAUCUCUUUUAGACCACCGAAUCGACGAAGCCCUUGAAGAACCAAAGGAAACGGUGCAAAAAAUGAAGCGCGGGAAACUCUUAAAGUAUUGGGUCUUGACAAAAAGAAUAUUAAGAAAAAUAGGUUUUUAAUAUCUUAUUUUAGUAUAAAAAUAAAAAAAUAAGAUAUAAUUAAAAACUUGUAUAUUUUUAAAUUAUUUGAUAUUUAUAUAAAAAAUAAUAUAUUAACUUAAAUAAGUUUAAGAUAGCAUAUAAAAUAAUUUAUCAGCUUUAAAUUUUUUUUUUACUUUUACAUGAUACUUAAAAAGGAAUAUAAAUAGAGAAACAAUAUACUAAAUAAAAUAAUUUUAUCUAUAUAUAAAAAUAAUUUAUUAAUUUAAAAUCUAUUUUUAUUUCCUUUUAACCUUUCUUUCCUUUUUUUUUUUUUUUUUCCAUAUUUUCCAAAUACUUCACAUAGCACUCCACUCCCUAUUUUUUUUUUCUCUCUAAAUUUCAGAAACCAAACAUAAAAUACAAACACUGGUGUAAAGUUUGUAUCUUUGUGAAACUCAUGUAAUCUUGACCCAUAGGAACCUUCCCAUAUAAUUAAAGGAGAAUUACCCAAUAGGGUGGGCUUGGUAAAACAAUUACUAGAAAUGGUAGUCUCUUCUAAUAAUUCUUGGGGAGGAUUUUAAUAGGUUUAAUAUACCAAAACUGUCAUUUAACUAAAAUUUUUAAAAUUCAAAGUAUUUAAAGCACUUCACUUGAUUUGUCGAUACAAUUAUAGUACAUGAGUCUCAUAUUUAUUGUAAUUAUUAAUAUUCAAAUUUUAAAUCAAAAUUUUGGGUUUAACCUUUACAAUUAUAUAUAAUUUGUUAUUUAAAUUUACUAUUUAAAACAAAAAUACUUUUAAAAAGUAUUUUCAAAAUAUCAUUUAUUGUUUUUUUUACAUUUUUUAUUUUUAUUCUAAUUUUUAAUUUUAUUAAGAAAAAAAUAAGUUUUAUAAUUAUAUAAUAAAAAUGAUGAUUUUUUCAUAUAUAUAUAUGUAUAUAUUAUAAUUUUAAAUUGAUAAAUUAUGUUUUUGUUUUAAAUUCAAGGAAGAUAAAAUGUUUAAUUUUUCAUUCAGAUUCUUUAAAAAGAAUAAGAAAAUGAUAGAGAAUGUUUAAUAAUUUUUUAUUUUUAUAAUAAAAUAAUUUUAAAAAAUUUAUAUGAUUUUUUUUCCUUUGCAUAGUGUUUUUUUUUUUUUCAUAUAAAAUUUUUUUUCUCAGUACAUCGACUGGAUGAUGUUAAUAUAUUUGAUAUGUUGAAUAUUAAUAAGGUAUAAAAGGUGAUCAUCGAGAUUAUUACUUUUAUUAUAAAAUAUAGGUACAACAAAAAUAUGUUAUAAUUACCAUAUAAAUACACUUACAUUACAAUAAAACCUAAUUAGGAAAUUUUUGAAUUUUUUUAUAAAAAUGAUAAUUUGGUAAGAUCAUACCAUAUUUUAUAACAUACCUAUAUCAUAAAUAAUUUCUGAAACCAAAUGAAAUACUAAUUUGAAUUCACGAGACUUGUAGUUUAUAUAUAUAAAUGAUUAAAUAAUUUCAAAACACUAAAUAAAUGUUGUUAAUAUAUUGAUACGAUGCGUUAAUACCAACGGGGUAUGAAUAAACAUUUUUAAAAUUAUUCCUUUUGUAAUUAAAUAUAGAUAUGACAUAAAUACAUUAUACUUACAAUAUAAAUACGUGUUAUCAUUACAAUAUAUUACAAUAUAAUUUAAUUUAUUUUUAUUUAAUUUUUUCAAGUGUUAUAUUAUCCAAUGAAUAAUUGUGAGUUAUUCUAUUUAAUAGGUGUGUGUUAAUCAAUUGAAUAUUUACAUAUUAUUCAAUUGAUGAGUGCUCGUAAAAAAUAAUUAUUCAUUAUAUUAUGAUAACAAAGUUUUUAAUUAUAUGUUUUAUAUAUAAAACAAUAUAAUAAUUUUAGGAUAUGGUUUUUAUUUAUGAGAUAAUGAAAAUUAUAUUUUUUUAUAAGGUUCUUUAUAAAAUAUAGCAAAUUUUUAAAUAAUCAUUUGAUUGUUCAAAAGUUAAUAAUAAUUUUUUUAAGCUGAGAAAUAUAUUAUUGAUUACUUAUCAUCAUGCAUGAAUUCCACAACAAUCUCAAUUUAUUUAUAAAUAAUAUAAAAACAUAUUAUAGGUAAAAUUAUCUAUAACCGAGAGAGCCUUCAUAAUAAUUAGUUUUUUGGGCUACCCUGUUCGGUAAUUCUCCGUACAAUUAAUUUCCAGCAAAGGCAGGUGAGUGUUGAGGAGACAAAAUCUGACCCGCUGUUGAAGGGAAAAUGCACAAUUAUUGAAGUGGACGGAAACUUUUAACCUUAUCUGUGGAAGCUGGGUCGUUUUUCAAAACACGAGGCUGCAGCUUGGAACCUGGGGCAUUCUAGCUUUCAUCUUCCCAUGGGAAUUUCUACCCUCCGCACAAGUCAAGAGCAACUUUGUCUUUUCCAUAAAUAUUAGUAUUAUUUGUGUGUUCCUUACCUGAAUUUGAUUCAAGCUUAGCCCUACGGCCUUUUCAACUGAUCCAAUUUCAUAGAUCACAUGGAUGCGCCAGUUCUUUUGCUUCUUCUCACUCUGCUUCUAUCUUCUCCACUUCCAUCGUCCACCCUCGACAGUUUGAGUCAAGGCUCAUCCCUCUCAGUUGGGAAGCCUGAACAAGUUUUGAUUUCACAAAGUGGAAUCUUCUCAGCUGGCUUCUACCCCGUCGGUGAUAAUGCUUGUUGUCUUGCCAUAUGGUUCACCAAACCAUCCUACGACGGCAAACAUACCGCUGUUUGGAUGGCAAACCGAAACCAACCAGUUAAUGGGAAUUUCUCAAAGCUUUCCCUUCUAGAAAGUGGUGAUCUUAUCUUAACAGAUGCUGGGCGGUUCAUAGUUUGGACCAUAAAGAGGGUUGGGAUUUCUCCGGUGCAAUUACACCUCUUCAACACUGGUAACCUUGUGCUGCGUACCUCGGAUGGUGUUAUUCAAUGGCAAAGUUUCGAUUCACCAACAGAUACCCUUCUCCCUCACCAACCACUCACCAGAAAUACGAGACUCGUCUCUUCAAGAACCAAAACCAACUUUUUCUCAGGGUUUUAUAAGCUCUAUUUUGACAACAAUAACGUCCUCAGUCUUGUCUUCGAUGGGCGGGAUGCUUCAAGCAUUUACUGGCCCCCAUCGUGGCUUGUAAGCUGGCAGGCGGGAAGAUCGGCAUACAACAGCAGCAGAACUGCAUUACUAGAUUACUUUGGCUAUUUUUCUUCAACCGACGAUUUUAAGUUUCAGUCCUCGGAUUUUGGUGAGAGAGUCCAAAGAAGAUUGACCCUGGAUAUUGAUGGCAACUUACGAUUAUACAGUUUUGAGGAAGGGAGAAAUAAGUGGGUUGUUACUUGGCAAGCCAUCACGCUACAAUGCAACAUUCAUGGAAUAUGCGGACCCAACAGUAUUUGUACCUAUGUGCCUGGUUCUGGGAGUGGAAGGAGAUGCUCUUGCGUACCUGGAUAUGAGAUGAAAAAUCGCACUGACCGAACUUAUGGAUGCAUACCAAAAUUCAAUCUUUCUUGCGACUCACAGAAGGUUGGUUUCCUCCCACUCCCACACGUUGAGUUCUACGGCUAUGAUUAUGGCUAUUACCUCAAUUACACCUUACAGAUGUGUGAAAAACUGUGCUUGAAAAUAUGUGGCUGCAUAGGAUAUCAAUACAGCUAUAAUUCGGAUGUUUAUAAAUGUUGUCCUAAGCGGCUGUUUCUCAACGGAUGCCGCUCGCCUAGUUUUGGAGGACAUACAUAUCUAAAAUUGCCUAAAGCUAGUCUUCUUUCCUAUGAAAAACCAGUUGAGGAAUUCAUGUUAGAUUGCUCAGGCAACCGCUCAGAGCAGCUAGUAAGAUCUUAUGCAAAAGCCCGCGAAAAUGAAGUGUUAAAGUUCAUCCUCUGGUUUACGUGCGCAAUUGGAGCAGUUGAGAUGAUUUGCAUCAGUAUGGUGUGGUGUUUCUUGAUGAAGGCCCAGCAAAACACCAGUACAGAUCCGCCAGGCUACAUUUUAGCUGCCACGGGAUUCAGAAAAUUCACCUAUAUUGAGCUGAAGAAAGCAACACGGGGUUUCAGUGAGGAGAUUGGCAGAGGAGGGGGUGGGGUUGUAUAUAAAGGUGUCUUAUCAGACCACCGAGUGGCAGCCAUCAAGCAGCUCAGUGGAGCUAACCAAGGAGAAUCUGAAUUCUUGGCAGAAGUAAGUACCAUUGGGAGGCUUAACCACAUGAACUUGAUAGAGAUGUGGGGUUAUUGCUUUGAGGGGAAGCACAGGCUCUUGGUUUAUGAAUACAUGGAGCAUGGAUCACUAGCACAAAACCUCACUUCCAAUACACUUGAUUGGCAGAAGAGGUUCGAUAUUGCGGUGGGCACAGCAAAAGGUCUGGCUUAUUUACACGAAGAGUGCUUGGAGUGGGUUAUACACUGCGAUGUGAAGCCUCAAAACAUACUCCUAGACUCUAAUUAUCAGCCAAAGGUGGCAGACUUCGGCCUGUCAAAGUUACAGAACAGAGGAGGAAUCAACAAUUCGAGAUUGUCGAGGAUCAGAGGAACGAGAGGUUACAUGGCUCCAGAAUGGGUUUUGAACCUCCCCAUCACCUCCAAAGUAGACGUUUAUAGCUAUGGUAUUGUGGUUCUGGAGAUGAUUACCGGCCUAAGAAGUGUUGCAAAUGCCAUCCACGGUACAGAUGGCAUAGGGGAACGUCAGAGUUUGGUGGCAUGGGUGAAAGGGAAGAUGAAUAGUGCAACUGCAGUUGCUUCGUGGAUUGAAGAAAUCCUAGACCCGUCGAUGGAAAGCCAAUAUGACAUGGGUGAGAUGGAAAUUCUAGUAGCAGUGGCUCUGCAAUGUGUGGAAUUGGACAAGGAUGAAAGACCCACCAUGAGUCAGGUGGUCGAGACGCUUCUCCGCCCUGAACGUGGAAACAAUCAUCACUAUUAAUAAAUCAAUGCCUCGUAUGGGGCCCAAGUGAAGUGGCUUUCUAUACCUAUUCCGCCCAUUUAUGAUAUUUGUAAAAAAACAGAGUAAUUUUAUUCCCAAUAUCUCUCCUUGGUGCUCUUAUCUUAUUAAACUCCUUUUUUUUUUUUUGCAAUAUUAACUAUUAUAUUUUAUAAAAUCCUUUUUAAAAUUUGUUGAAUUUGAUCUAUUUUAUCCUCACAUAAUUUGUAGCAGGAGAAGUUUUUCUCCUCAUCAUAGAACAAAUUCUUAUAUAUGUAGUAUACAUAUAUGAAAGGUAUAAAUGGUUUUAGCUUUAGUUGAUAUCAUAUAAUUUCUCAUUGAAUCUAUUCUAAUGUGACUUUAAAAUUUUUCAAAAUAUAAAUCAAUUCCUCUUCCUUUGUGUGUUAGUGAAUGAAUUAGUUUAAAUGUCAUAGGUUUUGACUUUUUAGACAGCUAUUUAACCUAUUUUAAAUAGCUCUGCAUCACACCAUCACUUCAACCUUCCUUGACAUUUUUUUAUUUAUUUAUUUUAAUUACCUUUGGAUGGUAUCAUUGCUCGGAAAAAUUUGAUGAAUGUAAAAGGGAAAUGGAAAAUCGUGGGGCACACAUACAUUAUGGAGUCAAAAUCUUUGAAAGAUGUAAAAUUGUCGUGCAAUUCAAUCUAAUGUAGAUGGACAAAAAUGUCAUCUUAUUGAUCAAGCAUAGAUGGAAAAUCAAAUGAAUGAGCCACCCUGCAAAUGUUUAUUUUCAAGUAUUUCUUUUUUUUUUUCAACUUAAGACCUCUUUUUGGAAAUUUAUUAUUAAAAAUAUUUUAAUCUCUAAUUUUUUAUAAGUGUCUUUUCAUAAGCAUGUUGAUUAGAAAGAAACAAAAAUAUAUUUUUAAAUUAUUUAAUCUAACACAAGAAAGACAAGUAAAAUUUUAUAAAAAUAAUUUAUUAAUUUUAAAUUUAUAUUUUAUUUUCAUUCAUUUGACAUACCUUCAAUAAUUAGUAUAAAUUAAUAUAAAUGUUUUAUAUAAUUCGUUUACAUGCAUUGUAUAUUAUGUACAAACAGGAACAAAAUGAAUGAGCCACUGUAUGUGACAAAUAAAUACAUUUUUAUAAAAUCUAAAUUUAAUUUUAUAGUAUAUGACAUGGAUUCUGGCGUCAUCUUCCACAUCACUGAACUUCUUCUUUACCUAUUUCAUUGUUCUCUGCUUCCAACGCUUCCCACUAUGAACGUCUCUAGAAAAAACUGUCCGGUGUGGCUCUCCUCUUGGCUCUACCACAGUUGAGAUUUUCGGCUUGAUGCCUUCGCUCUAUCUCAGGUGGUCGGCUUUGGAGCAUGGAUGGCUGCAGAUCUGCCAAGUUGUUGGCCAUGAAUCUCCCGAAUCCACUUGCUGCUAACCGUUUGUAUUAUUCAAUUGUUGAAGGCCGAUUUGAGUUGAAAGGCCAAUGGGCCAUGGGAAGCAAUGGUUGCUUCACCCAAUUUUUUAAAAUUCGUUUUAAGUAAUACCAAAAUUUUUAUUGUAUGAAGUAUUGAUGUUAUUAUUAUCUUUUCAUAUUGAUUUUAUUUUUUAAUUUUUUUUUCUUAGGAUUUUUUUUCUUUUCACUUUUUCUCCCACCUUUCUUUUAUUUAUAUUUUCUCAUAAUCAAAUAUGGCCUUAAAUUUAAUCGCAAGCAAAGUGUUAUGUAGACAAUUAAUAUGUUCUUACUAUUUUGCUUUUAUGGCCAUUAAAUUUAAGGACUUCAGGUGAUGGCAAUAGGGUGAUUUUUUUUAGGUAAUAGUCCAACCUGCUUCUAAUAGGAUGAGUUUGAAAUUUAAAUAAAUGAGUUUGAAGUAAAUUUAAGUUUUUUUAAACUCAAAAUGAGUUUGGAUAUUGUCACAUCCCAAUUAUAUAUAAAAUUAAUUUAAUUUGAUUUUUUAUUUUUUUAUUUUUAAUAAUAAUAAUAAUAAAAAAAUACUUUUUUAAUAAAAUAAGUUAUAAAAAUUUAUAAUAAUCUAAUUAUAUAAAAUAUCUUUAUUUUAAUGUAAUUAAAUACUCUAAUAAGUUAUAAAAAUUUAUAAUACUCUAAUUAUAUAAAAUACAUUUUAAAUAAUUUUAAAUGAGGUAAGGUAGGACGAGUAUGAGAAUUUUUUUUACCUAUCCCACCCCGUCCUGUCAUGUUUAAUUUUUUUAAUGGUACAAGGUUGGAAUAUGUGCUUUCUAUUCUAAACCGGUCUCAUUAUCAUCCCUUCAUGUGUCUGCAUGAAUAUAAGAUAUUAGUGAAAAGUUUGAAGUAUGAUAUUAAAAAUUCAAUUCACCAUUUAUUUUGUAAUUAUACUUCUAAAUAUAAGCAUGAAAGGGCGAAUUGACAUAAUAGAAGGCCUAACUGCUCAUGUUUUUAUUUAUUUAAAUUAAUAUUUAUUAAUAAUUUAUUUAUGUAAUAAAAAAUUUGUAAUUCAAAAUUUGAUUUUACUAAGUGAAGUACCUGAUGUCCAGAACUGGAGGAACCUAAAGAAAGAGAAGAACAAAAAGUGACACCAAGACAUAUCCCAAAAGCCUAAUGGCCCAUCCCCCUACAAAUUCUAGCUUUAUAAUUAUUGUCCUAAAAGAAAAAGAUGAACAAGUGUUUUUUCGUCAUAUAAUGUUAAAAAAUUAAAGUAUCAAUUUUUUUUUUUUAAACUUUCUACCAAAAAUAAUUUAAUUUCAUAUUUCUAAUUGUUUUUUUUAAACCUUUUGUCACUUAUUAUUUAUUUUUUAAAUAUUUUUACUAAAUUUAAAAAGAAAAAAAUAUAUAUAUUUUAAAUAUUAAAAAUAAUCUAUUAAUUUUUCUUUACUUAAUAAAAAUAAUAUAUUUAAAAAAAUAAAUAACUUAAUAAUUAAUAUUAUUAAACACUAUUUAAUUUUAAAUUCAAUUUACAAUUAAGUUUAAAAAACACCACUUAAAUGUCAUUAUUGCAACGGACAACAACAUUAACUCUACUCUUUUAUAAAAUCUUUUAUUUUAGGAAAUUUUAAUUUCCAAAUGAAGUAGUUAAGAGAAAAAUAAACAUUGUGGUUGAACUUAAUCGAAAUAAAUAAACCAUAAAAAAACACUUGAAUGGAUUAAGGACCCUUUUUUUACGCCAAGGUGGUGGUGAUAUAUUGAUUUGAGUAAGAAUUUUAUAAUUUCCCAAAAGAAAGAUAAAGUGGAAAAGCAACAUUUAUUAAAAGAUAGAUACAUUAGAAUAUCAUAUCUAAAUUUAGUAUUUUUCUUUUCUCUUCUUUAUAAAACUAAAUAAUAGAAAUCAAAUACUUUUUCCAACUUCUCGUACUGAACCGUUUCGUUUUUCAUUUCAUCUAAUUUUACCUUCAAUUCAUUUCUUUCCUAUUUUAUUUCUUGAAACAUGUAUUGACUAAAACCUCUGUACCAAUGUUUCAGGACAUGAAGAGGUAGCCAUCCUGCUCCGCCCUCUCCUCCGGGCACAUAAGCUUCUCAACUACCUGGCUCAUCGUGGGUCUUGAGUCCCUGUCUUCCUCUACACAUUCCAAGGCAACUCCAAUCAGAAUUUCCAUCUGGCGCAUGUCGCAUUCGCCUUGCAUCACAGGGUCCAGGAUGUCUUCAAUCCACGACCCCCUGGCACCAAUCCCAUUCAUUCGAUCCCUCAUCCAUUUAAUCAACCC
rnacentral:lncRNA from 1 species